GACCAUUCCUUGUUUAGUUCAUUCAUCCACCCGAUAUAAAAGAGAUUAUCAUUAGUUUGACUACUUCCCAAUUCGAUUUCUAAACUGACAAGAUGUACUUGAUGAUUUUGCUUGCAUUUCCUUUAGGAGCUUUGACUGCGUGCAUCCAGAGAGACAACACACUGACAUGCGAGGAUUUCAGAGAAUUAACCAGCAGGACAUGGAGAGGCGUUGAAAUUCUGACAGUCAACAGACUGAGCUCAGGAGUGAACUUAAAGAAAUUUCCGGCUCUGAAGAAGUUCAAAGUCAUGCACUCGCUCGUUAGGUGUGAUGACAUCAGUGGGUCAGAGGGAAUCGCAGUAGAACUUGAAGAUGAAGUUUGCUCUAUGUCCAGUUCAGUUUCCCAAGAAGUCGUGAGUACCACCAGGUCCCAGCCAGAAGUGGAGGCGACAAAUGCCAUUGUUGGUAUUAUUACUGGAGUGUGUCGGGUAUGGGGAGAGGCAACUACCCAUACAAGGCCCCCCCUCGACAACGCCGUCCUCAACCACGCCCCCCUCAACCACCUCAGCCAGCUGCUCCUCUUAGAAGAUCAAUGAGAAAUAGAAGACCAGUAAACAGAUUGCAAUUGUAGGACUAUUUUUUCAUGUGUACUAUUUUUUUU
rnacentral:misc_RNA from 1 species